CCGCACAAGAGCUGUCACUGUCAACCAAAAAAAUCAAAACAAAACCCAACCCGUUUUUUCAUGCGAAGAUUGCACGCGUUUUUUUUUCGUACCACCUGGAUUCCUGGCCGUCGGAUCCCAGCUGCUGACGACGUCGACCCCUGGUGUUUCCUGUGCUGCAAGGGCGGAAGUCUCAUCUGCUGUGAAAUCGAAUCCGGCCAUAUGCCGCUGUGCGACGAGAUCGUCUGGGCUAAAUAUUCCGUGUUCAAGUUCUGGCCCGCUAUUGCGAUUCCCCCGUCAAUGGUUCUGGGUGUGGUGUUCCGGCGGCAGCACGAACAAACGGACAUUUGCUUGCGCUUCAGGCAGAACAAGCUCACGCCCACGAAUCGGUCCCGGACGAUUUUAGCCUUGAACUGUCGAUAUACGUGAAAGUCAACUUCAACAAGUAGGUUGCUCCGCAUGAGUAGGAGCAACGCGGCCAGAUACGAGGAGGAGGAGGGCACAAAGGCAACAUGGCCCGGUUCUUCAACCACUCGUGCGAGCCCAACUGUGAGACGCUGCUGUGGAAGGUCGGCGUAAACCAAUCCGUGGGGCUGUUUGCCCUCAAGGACCUCAAGGUGGGCCUUCAACUACAACUUUGAGACGUUCGGCGACCAUAAGAAGAUCUGCUACUGUGGUGCGGGCAAGUGUUCCGGGCUGAUCGUCAGCCAAGUCAUCCAAAAAAGGGAAAUUUUCUUACAAAUUUCCCAUUUGCUCGAGCUUGGGAGUUUAAGUGAGCUGCACGUUAUGGUUUUUAAAUUCUAUUUUUUUUUGUAUAAUCCAUGUUCCAUGUUCUUUAAAAUUCUAUAAUAAAAUAUGAUAAGGGGUGAAAGGGAACGUUGGUCUAA